rnacentral:rRNA from 1 species
AGCGAACGCUGGCGGCAGGCCUAACACAUGCAAGUCGAACGAACCUUUCGGGGUUAGUGGCGGACGGGUGAGUAACCCGUGGGAACGUGCCUUUAGGUUCGGAAUAACUCAGGGAAACUUGUGCUAAUACCGAAUGUGCCCUUCGGGGGAAAGAUUUAUCGCCUUUAGAGCGGCCGGCGUCUGAUUAGCUAGUUGGUUGAGGUAAUGGCUCACCAAGGCGACGAUCAGUAGCUGGUAUGAGAGGAUGAUCAGCCACAUUGGGACUGAGACACGGCCCAAACUCCUACGGGAGGCAGCAGUGGGGAAUCGUGCGCAAUGGGCGAAAGCCUGACGCAGCCAUGCCGCGUGAAUGAUGAAGGUCUUAGGAUUGUAAAAUUCUUUCAACGGGGACGAUAAUGACGGUACCCGGAGAAGAAGCCCCGGCUAACUUCGUG